GACGAACGCUGGCGGCGUGCUUAACACAUGCAAGUCGAACGGAAAGGCCCUGCUUUUGUGGGGUGCUCGAUUGGCGAACGGGUGAGUAACACGUGAGUAACCUGCCCUUGACUUUGGGAUAACUUCAGGAAACUGGGGCUAAUACCGGAUAGGAUCUCCUGCUGCAUGGUGGGCGUUGGAAAGUUUCGGCGGUUGGGGAUGGACUCGCGGCUUAUCAGCUUGUUGGUUGGGUAGUUGCUUACCAAGGCUUUGACGGGUAGCCGGCCUGAGAGGGUGAACGGCCACAAUGGGACUGAGAGACGGAGCAGACGCGUACGGGAGGCAGCAGUGGGGAAUAUUGCACAAUGGGCGGAAGCCUGAUGCAGAAACGCCGGGUGCGGGAUGACGGCCUUCGGGGUGUAAACCGCUUUCGCAUGUGACGAAGCGUGAGUGACGGUAAUGGGUAAAGAAGCACCGGCUAACUACGUG
rnacentral:rRNA from 1 species